GUUGUGAGCAAUUAAAGGGCAAGCACAUGUGCUCCAGUUCAUCGCCAUUCUUCCACCGUCCAUUCUACGGAAGCACACAGUAAGCUUCGUGAGAGCACUCAACUUCGAAUAUGAUCUUCAUGUGGCGCCUGGCACUCUUGCUGGUCGUGUUGACGGCAGUGGUCGUAGCAGCCCUUCCCUAUCUGGGUGGUCGAGCAUAUAACUGCUAUCCUCGUACGUUCCCGUGCAGAUGGAAGACUGAAUGCUGCAGUGAACAGUGUAAUCUCCAGGAGUCCUGGGCCGGCCGUUGUGAAUGAAGGGCAGACCAUGGGCAGAUUUUUUUUCCCCAGAACUGGCAUCAAGUUCGGAAAUAAAGCUUUCACUGAAGUAUA